CCCGGCUGACUUAAGCAUAUCAAUAAGCGGAGGAAAAGAAACCAACAGGGAUUGCCCUAGUAACGGCGAGUGAAGCGGCAACAGCUCAAAUUUGAAAUCUGGCUUCGGCCCGAGUUGUAAUUUGCAGAGGAUGUUUAUGGUGCGGUACCUUCCGAGUUCCCUGGAACGGGACGCCACAGAGGGUGAGAGCCCCGUCUGGUUGGAUACUAAACCUGUGUUAAACUCCUUCAACGAGUCGAGUAGUUUGGGAAUGCUGCUCUAAAUGGGAGGUAAAUCUCUUCUAAAGCUAAAUACUGGCCAGAGACCGAUAGCGCACAAGUAGAGUGAUCGAAAGAUGAAAAGCACCUUGAAAAGGGGGUUAAACAGUACGUGAAAUUGUUGAAAGGGAAGCGUUUAUGACCAGACUUGUGUCGUGUGGCUCAUCCGAGGUUCUCCCCGGUGCACUCCACGCGGCUCAGGCCAACAUCGGUUCUUGUUGGAGGAUAAGAACAGUAGGAACGUAGCUCUCCUUCGGGGGAGUGUUAUAGCCUAUUGUACGAUACUCUGACGGGGACCGAGGACCGCGCUUCGGCUAGGAUGUUGGCGUAAUGGUCAUUAGCGACCCGUCUUGAAACACGGACCAAGGAGUCGUCCAUUAGAGCGAGCGUUUGGGUGUAAAACCCGCACGCGUAAUGAAAGUGAAAUUAGGUGAGAGCUUCGGCGCAUCAUCGACCGAUCCUGAAGUUUACGGAUGGAUUUGAGUAAGAGUUUUAACGGACGGACCCGAAAGACAGUGAACUAUGCUUGAAUAGGGUGAAGCCAGAGGAAACUCUGGUGGAGGCUCGCAGCGGUUCUGACGUGCAAAUCGAUCGUCAAAUUUGAGCAUGGGGGCGAAAGACUAAUCGAACUGUCUAGUGCCUGGUUACCGCCGAAGUUCCCUUCAGAAAAAA
rnacentral:rRNA from 1 species